UCUCUGCAGAACGCAAUGUAACUACAUCCAAGUGCAUUCCUUCAGAAGGUCACAACAAGUAUGAUGCAGCAACAAGAGGGAGGUAGCAUCGGAUACCGGCUUGCAGAAGCUCUGAAUAGUACCCUACAGCGUAGCUGCAGUGGCUAUGAGACUUCAUGUCUCUUGUCAAAAGCAACCAUUCUCGAUCCACACUUCAAAACGCUGACAUUCAUAAGUCUACAGAAGGCUGAUGAAGCUGUAAAAAGUGUCUCAUCUGGAGGUGCAAUGUUAGUUUUAGAAGGACCUGCACAGGCAUUACCACCUACAACUUCAGCCUCUUCAACAUCCAAUGAAAUCUGGCAGGAUUUUGACACUCGGGUUUCUUCACAAAAUCCAAGGAAGGACUUUUAAACUGAACUCAAACUGUACCUGACUGAGCCCAACAUUGUGUGAUCUGGAUGUCCUAUCCAGUACUGAGGUGGGAAAGAAGCCAAGUUUCAUUUGCUACGUCAUCUUUCAAUAAAAUACCUCAGCGUGCCAGCUACCUCGGUACCGAGUGAACGUGUUUUUUCAAAGGCCGGCAAACUGAUUUCAAAAAGACGAUCAAGGCUUCAACCAAAACAAGUGCAGAUGACACUAUUUCUGAAUAGCAAUAUCAUCUUUUUAAAAGGAUGCCAUUGUUUGAUUUCCAUGUUGUCUUUUUAAACUGUAUUAUCCAGUUUUAUGACAAAUCACAAUCUCUGAACAUAUAUGUUCUAAAUUAGAAGGUUCUAUUUCUGUUUAUUCCAGUUCAAGGUGUACAUUUGUUUUUACACAACGAUGUGCUGUAUUUAUGCAAGACUAUUAAUUUCAAGUCUAAACAUAUUAUGUGUGGUUCCGUACAGUGUUCAAAUGUCUCCCAAUUAAAUGACAAAUUGUUUUAAGAUAGUAGUA